rnacentral:rRNA from 1 species
CCCCACUCAAGCUCUUCGAGUAGGGCUACACACGUGCUACAAUGGCAGAUACAAAGAGAAGCGACCUCGCGAGAGCUAGCGGAACUCAUAAAGUCUGUCGUAGUCCGGAUUGGAGUCUGCAACUCGACUCCAUGAAGUCGGAAUCGCUAGUAAUCGUAGAUCAGAAUGCUACGGUGAAUACGUUCCCGGGCCUUGUACACACCGCCCGUCACACCAUGGGAGUGGGUUGCAAAAGAAGUAGGUAGCUUAACCUUCGGGAGGGCGCUUACCACUUUGUGAUUCAUGACUGGGGUGAAGUCGUAACAAGGUAACCGUAGGGGAACCUGCGGUUGGAUCACCUCCUUACC